AAACCUGAGUUAGCUAACACAUUGCUUCGUGACCCAGGGGCAUCCAGACUACAGGGGAUGGAACAUGUAACCAGAGUUUUCUGCAAAUGGCCAAGAGGACUACAACCUCAGCUGCAUUCAUCCUUACUUCAUUGAUUUUGUGCCCAUGCCGGGGAUCUGUUUACCUUGGCAGCCAGCAACUCAGUUGCUCAUUCAGAUAACAAAGGUAUCACGAGUGCAUCUCUGGCCUAGUUCCUCUUUUAAGAAAGAAUAGCAGCGAAGCAAGUCCAUUUGUCUUUUCUGGGAAGUGCCUGUGUGUAUGAUGUAAAAUGAAGUGGUUCCUAGAGCGGGGGCAUAGCUGGUAGAUUGACAUAUACAAAUACACUGGCUAGGCUGCAGCCCUUUUAAAAAUAGAUACGCUAUUAGAAAUGCCAUAACAGAAGAGGAUCAUACAGAGAGACGGGGGGGGGGGGGGAAGGGGGACGGACCAAAUGCCUCCCAGACACCACAAGAAGAAUUGUGCUAGAAAAUAAAAGUCCACCGUUCCCGUACCCACCUGACACUAGGUGCCUGUGAAUAGCAGAAGGGAAUCGGGUAUGUUUAUUUUAUAGAGUGAAUUUACUAUAGUCAAUGGUGCCUGACUGCCCUGGGGACUGGAAACCUGUUUCUUCCUGUACUAUGAACAGCAUUGAUGCCCACUCUCUCACUUCAUCUCCACACUUUACUUCCACACUGACUUAUAGGGCUGAGGGGAUAUUUGUUUCUGUGACCCAUUUAGUCCUUAGUGUCUGUGCUGAGGUUGCCAAGUAGGUGUCAAUUAGUGCUAACUGCAGUGGUGGUGGGUUUUUUUAGGUAUGUCCCCAAGUUACUGGGCUGAGCUCUCCCUCCCCAUCCCCCUCAACAACUUUUCACAUAGGCCACCAAAUAGCAAUUACAGAACAGCCCCCUUCAGUCACUGCAUCCCUGGGCCAGAUUUGAACCAGCAAAAUGGCGUUCAGAUCCCACAGUGAUUGGUGCACAUCAGAAACACCUAGAUAGCCCUGGCAACUGUGCUGGUGAGCAUUUGAAUUAGUACUCCCUGUAUUCUCCACAUGGUGGCAGCAGACAAACAUCUCAUGCUUUAGGAAACCAAAAGCUCUCCUUUUCAAUAUGUGAGCCAGAUACAAGGGCUCUGCUCCAAAUUGUUUUUGUGAUACAGGCAUCUACCCACCAGGACCUGCACAGAGAAAUCUCACAUUAUUUCACACAGGCCCUAGAUGAGCUGUCGUCGUGAUUUUUGUUCUGUGAAGAGGAAGUGUGGUCUACUGGUUAGCGCAAAGAACUGACCAACAGGACAGGUUCUAGUCUUGGUGCUGCCACCUUGGACAAGGUUACUUCUGUGCCUUAGUUCUUCCAGCUGUACAAGAGGGAUAAUAAUCCUCAUGGAACUUGCCUGGGUGGUGAGGCAUACUUAACUGUGAUAAUGGUGAUGCUUUGAGAUCUUCACAUGAAAGGUGCUCUAGAAAUGCAAAGAAUUAUCAUUAGCACCAUCCUCAAUUGGAUUUGAGCCAGUGGCUGAGAGUUUGGAAGCUAGAGUAUCUUUCCAUAUAACUGUGGAAAUGCUUGUCAAUGGACUGCCAUUUAUCUACUCCCUGGAGAUACUCAUCAGGCUGCACAUGCUUAAUCGUGAUUUCCAUAGUUCCUGAUUCCUGACAUAAAUUAGGCCUCUGUUUUAACUUUUGCUCUCAUGAAGUGGGGGUGGGGGGCAGAGGAAGGGUCUACUAUAACAAAUUCUAAUGCUCCAACAAAUUUCCACAAAUAUUAAAGCCUAUAAAUCGCCA